rnacentral:rRNA from 1 species
UACGUAGGGUGCAAGCGUUGUCCGGAAUUAUUGGGCGUAAAGAGCUCGUAGGCGGUUUGUCGCGUCUGCUGUGAAAACCCGAGGCUCAACCUCGGGCCUGCAGUGGGUACGGGCAGACUAGAGUGCGGUAGGGGAGAUUGGAAUUCCUGGUGUAGCGGUGAAAUGCGCAGAUAUCAGGAAGAACACCAAUGGCGAAGGCAGCUCUCUGGGACGGUACUGACGCUGAGACGCGAAAGCGUGGGGAUCAAACAGG